AUUGAACGCUGGCGGAAUGCUUUACACAUGCAAGUCGAACGGUAGAGGGGGCAACCCUCGAGAGUGGCGAACGGGUGAGUAAUAUAUCGGAACGUACCUUAUCGUGGGGGAUAACGCAGCGAAAGCUGUGCUAAUACCGCAUACGCCCUGAGGGGGAAAGCGGGGGACCGUAAGGCCUCGCGCGAUUAGAGCGGCCGAUAUCUGAUUAGCUUGUUGGUGGGGUAAAAGCCCACCAAGGCGACGAUCAGUAGCUGGUCUGAGAGGACGAUCAGCCACACUGGGACUGAGACACGGCCCAGACUCCUACGGGAGGCAGCAGUGGGGAAUUUUGGACAAUGGGGGCAACCCUGAUCCAGCAAUGCCGCGUGAGUGAAGAAGGCCUUCGGGUUGUAAAGCUCUUUUGUCAGGGAAGAAACAGCAGCUCUAACACAGUCUGCGAAUGACGGUACCUGAAGAAUAAGCACCGGCUAACUACGUG
rnacentral:rRNA from 1 species